UACGUAGGGUCCGAGCGUUGUCCGGAAUUAUUGGGCGUAAAGAGCUCGUAGGCGGUCUGUCGCGUCUGGUGUGAAAACUCGGGGCUUAACUCCGGGCCUGCAUCGGGUACGGGCAGACUAGAGUGCGGUAGGGGAGACUGGAAUUCCUGGUGUAGCGGUGAAAUGCGCAGAUAUCAGGAGGAACACCGGUGGCGAAGGCGGGUCUCUGGGCCGUAACUGACGCUGAGGAGCGAAAGCAUGGGGAGCGAACAGG
rnacentral:rRNA from 1 species